CUCAAAUUUGAAAGCUGGCCUUCGGGUCCGCAUUGUAAUUUGUAGAGGAUGCUUUGGGUGAAACGCCAGUCUAAGUUCCUUGGAACAGGACGUCAUAGAGGGUGAGAAUCCCGUAUGUGACUGGAAAUGUUAACCUAUGUAAAGCUCCUUCGACGAGUCGAGUUGUUUGGGAAUGCAGCUCUAAAUGGGAGGUAAAUUUCUUCUAAAGCUAAAUAUUGGCGAGAGACCGAUAGCGCACAAGUAGAGUGAUCGAAAGAUGAAAAGCACUUUGGAAAGAGAGUUAAAAAGCACGUGAAAUUGUUGAAAGGGAAGCGCUUGCAAUCAGACUUGUUUAAACUGUUCGGCCGGUCUUCUGACCGGUUUACUCAUUUUGGACAGGCCAGCAUCAGUUUCGGCGGCCGGAUAAAGGCUCUGGGAAUGUGGCCUUCACUUCGGUGAAGGUGUUAUAGCCCAGGGUGUAAUACGGCCAGCCGGGACUGAGGUCCGCGCUUCGGCUAGGAUGCUGGCGUAAUGGUUGUAAGCGACCCGUCUUGAA
rnacentral:rRNA from 1 species